AGAGUUUGAUCAUGGCUCAGAACGAACGCUGGCGGCGUGGAUAAGACAUGCAAGUCGAGCGAGAUUUUUCGUUGUAGCAAUACGAUGGAAAGUCUAGCGGCGAACGGGUGCUUAACACGUGGGCAACCUGCCAUGAAGUGGGGGAUAGCUCGCCGAAAGGCGAAUUAAUACCGCAUGUGAUUAGAGAGGACAUCCUUUCGAAAUUAAAGUCGGGGCAACCUGACGCUUCUUGUGGGGCCCGCGGCCUAUCAGCUAGUUGGUGAGGUAACGGCUCACCAAGGCUUUGACGGGUAGCUGGUCUGAGAGGACGACCAGCCACACUGGGACUGAGACACGGCCCAGACACCUACGGGUGGCAGCAGUCGAGAAUUUUUGACAAUGGGGGAAACCCUGAUCGAGCGACGCCGCGUGGAGGAUGAAGGUCUUCGGAUUGUAAACUCCUGUCAUUGGGGAACAAGGUGCAUACGUUAACUGCGUGUGCAUUGAUAGUACCCGAAGAGGAAGAGACGGCUAACUCUGUGCCAGCAGCCGCGGUAAUACAGAGGUCUCAAGCGUUGUUCGGAUUCAUUGGGCGUAAAGGGUGCGUAGGCGGCGCGGUAAGUCGGGUGUGAAAUCUCGGAGCUUAACUCCGAAACUGCAUUCGAUACUGCCGUGCUUGAGGACUGGAGAGGAGACUGGAAUUUACGGUGUAGCGGUGAAAUGCGUAGAUAUCGUAAGGAAGACCAGUGGCGAAGGCGGGUCUCUGGACAGUUCCUGACGCUGAGGCACGAAGGCCAGGGGAGCAAACGGGAUUAGAUACCCCCGUAGUCC
rnacentral:rRNA from 1 species